UGUUCCAGGUAAAUCCGGUUCACUUUAACACUGAGGCGUGAUGACGAGGCACUACGGUGCUGAAGCAACAAAUGCCCUGCUUCCAGGAAAAGCCUCUAAGCAUCAGGUAACAUCAAAUCGUACCCCAAACCGACACAGGUGGUCAGGUAGAGAAUACCAAGGCGCUUGAGAGAACUCGGGUGAAGGAACUAGGCAAAAUGGUGCCGUAACUUCGGGAGAAGGCACGCUGACACGUAGGUGAAGUGAUUUACUCAUGGAGCUGAAGUCAGUCGAAGAUACCAGCUGGCUGCAACUGUUUAUUAAAAACACAGCACUGUGCAAACACGAAAGUGGACGUAUACGGUGUGACGCCUGCCCGGUGCCGGAAGGUUAAUUGAUGGGGUCAGCGCAAGCGAAGCUCCUGAUCGAAGCCCCGGUAAACGGCGGCCGUAACUAUAACGGUCCUAAGGUAGCGAAAUUCCUUGUCGGGUAAGUUCCGACCUGCACGAAUGGCGUAAUGAUGGCCAGGCUGUCUCCACCCGAGACUCAGUGAAAUUGAACUCGCUGUGAAGAUGCAGUGUACCCGCGGCAAGACGGAAAGACCCCGUGAACCUUUACUAUAGCUUGACACUGAACAUUGAGCCUUGAUGUGUAGGAUAGGUGGGAGGCUUUGAAGUGUGGACGCCAGUCUGCAUGGAGCCGACCUUGAAAUACCACCCUUUAAUGUUUGAUGUUCUAACGUGGACCCGUAAUCCGGGUUGCGGACAGUGUCUGGUGGGUAGUUUGACUGGGGCGGUCUCCUCCUAAAGAGUAACGGAGGAGCACGAAGGUUGGCUAAUCCUGGUCGGACAUCAGGAGGUUAGUGCAAUGGCAUAAGCCAGCUUGACUGCGAGCGUGACGGCGCGAGCAGGUGCGAAAGCAGGUCAUAGUGAUCCGGUGGUUCUGAAUGGAAGGGCCAUCGCUCAACGGAUAAAAGGUACUCCGGGGAUAACAGGCUGAUACCGCCCAAGAGUUCAUAUCGACGGCGGUGUUUGGCACCUCGAUGUCGGCUCAUCACAUCCUGGGGCUGAAGUAGGUCCCAAGGGUAUGGCUGUUCGCCAUUUAAAGUGGUACGCGAGCUGGGUUUAGAACGUCGUGAGACAGUUCGGUCCCUAUCUGCCGUGGGCGCUGGAGAACUGAGGGGGGCUGCUCCUAGUACGAGAGGACCGGAGUGGACGCAUCACUGGUGUUCGGGUUGUCAUGCCAAUGGCACUGCCCGGUAGCUAAAUGCGGAAGAGAUAAGUGCUGAAAGCAUCUAAGCACGAAACUUGCCCCGA
rnacentral:rRNA from 1 species